rnacentral:lncRNA from 1 species
GGGUCUAAUUAGUGGCGCCGUUGCUGGGGAUUGUUGUAAUUAAUUUGUGUUUAUCUUAUUCUUAGUUAAUUAUUAUUUUACAUACAUAUAUAUUUUUUAUUUAAUUGCUGAUUUUAUUUUUCAAGUUGGUCUGUUGAUUUUGGGAGAAAUUCAACAAUGGGGUGGGAACUACCACCACCAGGAGGACCACCUAUAUGGGUUUCUUUCGCAAAACAGGGUUUUUAUGGAUUUAUACCUACAGUUUGUGCCUUUUGUUGUUCAAAUACCCAAGAAAUUUUGCAAUGCCUUGAUGGGAAAUAUUUUCUAGACUAUGUGAAGGCACAUAUUAAUAUGAGGAACAACUCAAAAAGGCAUUGGGAUGAUCCCACUUUUGAUUACUACGCUCCAGAUUUGAAAAAGCAUCCUAGUUUUAGAUGGGCAGGUACUAAACAGCCUUUUGAGCAUCCUAAUGUGCCACAAGAUUUAGAGGAAUGAUGUGUAAUUCAAACACCCCAAUGUGCAAUGAGUUAUGACUAUAUGCAGGAAGACGCCAUAAUUGAAGAAUCACCAGGCAAUGACUCUAGCCCAAUGGAGGAAGUUACUGAUCCUGCAAUUUCAACAGAAUUUGCCGCUACCCAAGUCUAUAUACCACACAUUCUCUUUCAAGAGGCUGCAAUGCAACCCACAAAGUUGCGGGAAAGCUUUGAAACUGACAGUGCACCAGCAAAGCCAAUCAUAAUUGCAGAAAUAGAGUGCAAGUCCAUCGAGCAGGCUACAUUCUACAACGGGAAGAAGAAAAAGCUUAACGGUAGCCCAAUCCUUCGUCCAGACAUUCGACCUAUACAUAAAUUAUGGGUAUUACAUACAAGAUUGAAGUCAGCUCAAGGGAAACACAAGCAUCAAUGGAGGGGACCCUAUUUGAUCACAAAGAUUCAUUCACAUAUAAGGGCAAUUAUGAAGAAUUCAACCAACUCGUUAUGUGCCUACUAUUGCCGUAUGAUGCUAUCAAGGAGUGAUUGAUUUUGAAGGAACAAGUGACGUUAUCAUCAGCCUCAUUCACAUCUAUCUAGUUAUAGACGUUAACUAAAGCACUAAUUGGGAGGCAACCAAUUUUUCGAAACUCUUUUCUUUUUAUUUCCGUUCAUUUCAUUUUAUUUUUCGAAGCACAAUUUGGAUUUGUGCACCCGUGCCAAUUCUAUGUUUGCGCCUCUUCUUCUAACCACGAAUGGGAUCUGCAUCAAACCCAACUCACAUGCAUGAGGAGUCCAGAAUCUUUUUCAGAAUAAAUAAAGCACUGAGAACAUAUAGUGAACCAAAGAAAGAUCGUGUACCUUUUUUUUUUUUUUUUUUUUUUUUUUUUUUUUUUUUUUUGAGAAUCGGUGAGCUGGGGCUGCGGAUAUGGCUUCGAAGUUCUGGGUUUCAUUUCUCAAAUCCGAAGUUUGGGGGUUGCAGGUUGUAGCUUGAAUAUGAGAUACGAAUUUGGACAAAAUGGCUAUGGUGGCACGACUAGAAAGUAGAGAUGGGAUGAGGGUUAGAGAUAAGGAGUUUUGACGGCUCUGGACUCGAGGCGAAAUGCUGGAGGGUGUGAAAAAUGAGGCAAUGAGCAAUGGAAUGCUGAAAAGGAUAAAUAGGGUUUCUCUCAACACGUGUGGCUUCGUCAGUGUUGUCCGUGCGUGUUCCGUGUGUGCCAGCAAGCUGGCAGGUUGCGGGUUCGAUUCUCCAAAGCACUGAGAUGGUCAUUUCUUUUUCAUUAUUUUUCUACCGCAUAUUCUCCCUGCACCAGGUCACCGCUUCGAAUCCAGGUGCCUCUGUUUUCUUUUCUUUCUUUACUUUUCUGUUUUAUAAUUUCUUAUUUGCUUGUUUUCUUUCUUUUUGUUUGCUUAUUUAUUUUUAGUUUUUAUUAGUUUUCUUUGGUAGUCUUAUUCAUUUGAGUUAUUUUUAUAGUCUUAUUUUAUUUUUGUCAUGUUUAUUUUAUUUUCCACACCUUGAGGACAAUGUGUGAUUUAAGUUUAUAUUGGGAAAUAGAAUUUCAGAUUUUUAAUUUUUGAGUCAAUAAAAAAAAUUUCAUUCUUUUGAAGUUAAUAUCCAUAGAUUAUUUUAAACAUUAGAACAAAUGGACAUGGUGAAGAUUAAUCCGACAGUAGAGUCUCUUCUAUUUAUCGUUGCUUAGAC